AAUGUUUAUGUUCUGGUAUAAUUUUUUCUUCUGACGGUUUUUGGGUGCCUUGAACGCACCAUGUUGUCGCGCACAUGCGCAAUGUGUUCUGUUCGUUGUGUUGGAGUAGCCUGGCGUGGUUUGUCAAGUUCUACUGUAAGCGGUUUGGCGAAUACUGUGGCCGACAACAAUGCAGAUUCCAGACAUUGUCCACAACAGUGAGCAGCAGAAUCAUUCAUUUUCCUGGCUGGAAACCUCAGUGCCACAUAGUUCACACUCCCAGCCUCAUCCUCCUGUGAAGAAAAAAAACAAACAAAACCAAAAAUAACCGGUGUUAUACAAUAACUGCACAGCCAGGGUCAAAACAUUUGCAUAUUCUACAGUUUAUUUAAUUACAAAACACUCGAUGACCCCAAGGUCCACUACUGAAGAUGUGUCUCACGGUAAGAGAAGAAAAAUUACAAAGUAAUUACAAAGUAACCUUAAGGUCAUACACCCCAUGCCACUCAACCACUCACCACAGCCCCUUCGACGUGAAGGUAAGUACAAGGAUGACCCCAACAAUUCCCCUGCCGCAACCCCAAUUCCCACCCCUUGAUCAUGACAAUGGAAAAUCAGCCGUGUGGUAAGUUGGCUUCAUAUGUUAACAUUAUUGUGGGACCUAAAAUAAAGAGACACAAAAGGGAUGGCCUUGUAACAGCCUGGCUGUGACCUCAAAAGAAGAACGAGUCCAACAACUGGCAGACUUCCUGCCCUUUAAGUAUAUUCUUAAAAACGUGGCUCCGUGUCCUUCUUUGCUAGAGGAGCUAAAGUUAGCCACACCUGGCCCACUAUCAACAUCAACAGUGUCAACAACAGUUGUUUGAUGUUUUUGGCCACUAGUUUUGUAGAAGCGUGUGCUGUUAAGAGAAACUUUAUUAACGUAGAGUUACUUACAACGGACAUGGACAAACAAAAAAUCUAAUGUACACCUCACACCAACUUUCCCUCCAGACUCACUAGUGCGGCUGCUUACCUCUGCUAGUUUAGGUGUUUGAGCCGGCUGUGAUUGAUUUUGUGUAAACACUGCCUCUGAUUGGCCUACCUUGAAAGCUUACUCUGUCUUAGCCAAUCGUUAUCAAUUAUGCAGGUGUCUCAUCCAUCCCUCCUCCUCACAAAUAGAAACAGCGCCCUUGUAGCUAAAACUCAAAUGACAUCCGCUUCAAUGAGCAGCUUUAGUUUAUGACGCACCCCACUUUAUUGUCAGUAACGGUAACGGCGUUGUAACAAUGGAAAUAGUAAUUAGUUAGAUUAUCCCUUACUGAAAACAAUAACGCCGUUAGUAAAACCGCUCAUUUUAUACACAGUUAUUCCCAUCACUGGAGGAGAAGAUGGUUUGACAGUGGAGUGAAGAGACCUUCCUACAGUACAUUAACCUGGAGAAACCAUCACCAACCAAGAGGAGGUGGAGUUAGACACCAUCCUUCAUCCACUUACAAUGUUUUCCUGUGUUCUCCUCAGAGAAUCCUGCAUUCUAAGGAACUUUCAUACCAUUUAAUCAGGGCGUGGUCAUCCCAUUUGUUUUUUAAUGUAAUGACCGUCUUUUCAAGUAUUUGCCCUCAUUGAGGCUAAAUUCCAGCAUUCCCCAGAAGGUGAUGGUCUUCAAGAAACAAAGACAGUUCAGUUGCACUGUACUUGUGGGCCCAUAGGAGAUCAUCUGAGCACAGGGGGCAGUUUAAAAGCCUCUGGUUCCCUUUUGCCAAUGUCAUAACCACAAGAGGAAACAGCUGCUGAAUGAGCUCAA